GUAGAGAAGAAGCAGCAGGUUGGCCAGGAAAAACAGACUUCAACUAAGAAGAGAGAGAAGGAAUUAAUAGCAGGAUGGUUAGAAAGCUGUCAUCAACUACCAGUGGAACCAGGUGAAAGGAAGAAGCUGGACUGGGUGUAUGACUUAUGCUGGUGUGAUCGACGUUCUCUAUAAUUCUUUCAGGUUGAAAGCAGUCAACCAUGUUUCAUGAGCCCAGUCUCUGAUGGCUGAGUAUGCACAAGAGGCUAUCUACUCAUUACUCAUCUUUAAUUACUAAAUUCAGAAAUUCAACAAGUAACCAAGUACAUGUAUGGCUGAAGGAAAAGAAUAACUUGUUUUAUAAAUUUUUCUCUCUGCUAUCAACAUUGUGACACUGGAAAGAUGUUAUUAUGGGAAUAUACCACUAUGGAGUAGAGUGAAAGAAGAUUCCUCUUAUAAAUGCUGAAUUAGAAAGGCAGAAAGGAAUGAUUCGCACAAAUGAAGAAUAGGUUUUAAAAUAUUUGUCACUGGCCCUUCUUGAGCCAUACUAGACUUUCUUCACAUUCUUCCAAUUCUCUUCUAAAUUACAUAAUCAGAUCUGUCUAACACAAUGAAUAUUAUUUUAGCAUAUCAUCAGUGAUCUCAAGAUCAUAAACUUCAUAGUCAGGAGAAUCAUUAGUGCUAACCAAGGAUCAAUCAGUUCCCCUUUGGACUCCAAAUCUAAAACACACAUCUAGGUUCUAGAGGACACUGUGCAUUCUACCCCAGAUCAAGAGAUUUCAAAAUACUGGUAACUUAUUAGUUAAGUCUUCAUCUAGUAUUAUACUCUUCAGUAUGUCAAUGUAGAAAAUUGUUGGUGAUCCUGACUAUGCUAUUAGAGAUGACACUAGCAAUAUGUGACUAUUUACAUUAAAUAAAUUUUAUUCUAAAAUGUAUUCUAGGGGAGCCUGGUGGCUCAGUGGUUUAAAGCCUCUGCCUUCAGCUCAGGUCACAAUCCCAGGGUCCUGGGAUCAAGCCCUGCAUCGGGCUCUCUGCUCAGCAGGGAACCUCCUUCCUCCUCUCUCUGCCUGCCUCUCUGCCUAUUUGCGAUCUUUGUCUGUCAAAUAAAUAAAUAAAAUCUUUAAAAAUUUUUAAAAAAUAAGAUGUAUUCUAAAAUUUAAAAUCCAGUUCCUUAAAGAUAAAUAAAUAAGAUAAAUAAAAUUCAAUUCCUCAAUUGCACUAGCCAUGUAUCUAGUGUUCAGUAGCCACAAAUGACUAACAACUAUACAGGGUAUCUCAGAUACUGAACAUUUCCAUCUUCACAGAGGAAUUAAAGCUAGAAAUCAAAAAAUAUAUAUAUUUUAAACUACUAUUUGUCUAAGAAUAAAUCACACUGAUGGUCAAAAUAUUUUAAAAUAUAUGAAUACUAACCAUUGCAUAUGACCUAUCAAAGCUUAGGAAUAGAGCUAAACAAAGGAAACCAUAGUCUUAAAGAAGUACUACAGAAGAAUAUAAAUGAGUAAAGUCCAGAAAAGUAU